rnacentral:misc_RNA from 1 species
GUGAACGCCCUCACGGGCUUAUACUAUUCCAAACCUCUGUGAACCGUGCCCUUCGGGGCUAUUUUACAAACAUGGUGUAAUGAACGUCAUAUAUCAUUACAAAACA